rnacentral:rRNA from 1 species
AUGAGAGGGAGCGGCCUGGUGUUCGUGAUCGCUCUCCUGUUCGUCGGGUGCCUUGCGGUUGGGCAAUGUCGUCCUGUGGUCAGAGGAAGCCACCAGGAGAGUCAUGCCAAUAUUACCGCAAAUGCUACAACUAUUGCGGAUUCGUCGUCGUCGUCAAGGGAGAGCUCGAGCUCUAGCAAACUCACGAACUGGUGUUACCCAAGGGACUGCAACAAUCCAAACAAUCCGUUCUACACGAGACCGUGCUACUGCUGCCCCUUGCGGCCGGACGAGCUGUGCUUUAGUAAUAUCGACGAUUGCCAUGCAGGGUGCCCGACUUGUCAUCCUACUUGCUGA